rnacentral:rRNA from 1 species
UCGAACGAUGAAGCCCUUCGGGGUGGAUUAGUGGCGAACGGGUGAGUAACACGUGGGCAAUCUGCCCUUCACUCUGGGACAAGCCCUGGAAACGGGGUCUAAUACCGGAUACCACUCUCUUCCGCAUGGGAGAGGGUUGAAAGCUCCGGCGGUGAAGGAUGAGCCCGCGGCCUAUCAGCUUGUUGGUGGGGUGAUGGCCCACCAAGGCGACGACGGGUAGCCGGCCUGAGAGGGCGACCGGCCACACUGGGACUGAGACACGGCCCAGACUCCUACGGGAGGCAGCAGUGGGGAAUAUUGCACAAUGGGCGAAAGCCUGAUGCAGCGACGCCGCGUGAGGGAUGACGGCCUUCGGGUUGUAAACCUCUUUCAGCAGGGAAGAAGCGAAAGUGACGGUACCUGCAGAAGAAGCGCCGGCUAACUACGUGCCAGCAGCCGCGGUAAUACGUAGGGCGCAAGCGUUGUCCGGAAUUAUUGGGCGUAAAGAGCUCGUAGGCGGCUUGUCACGUCGGAUGUGAAAGCCCGGGGCUUAACCCCGGGUCUGCAUUCGAUACGGGCAGGCUAGAGUGUGGUAGGGGAGAUCGGAAUUCCUGGUGUAGCGGUGAAAAUGCGCAGAUAUCAGGAGGAACACCGGUGGCGAAAGCGGAUCUCUGGGCCAUUACUGACGCUGAGGAGCGAAAGCGUGGGGAGCGAACAGAU